rnacentral:rRNA from 1 species
CACGUAGUUAGCCGUGGCUUUCUGGUUAGAUACCGUCAAGGUGAGAACAGUUACUCUCCCACUUGUUCUUCUCUAACAACAGAGUUUUACGAUCCGAAAACCUUCUUCACUCACGCGGCGUUGCUCGGUCAGACUUUCGUCCAUUGCCGAAGAUUCCCUACUGCUGCCUCCCGUAGGAGUCUGGGCCGUGUCUCAGUCCCAGUGUGGCCGAUCACCCUCUCAGGUCGGCUAUGCAUCACGGUCUUGGUAGGCCAUUACCCCACCAACUAACUAAUGCAGCGCGGGCCCAUCCAACAGUGACACCGUAAGGCGUCUUUUAUUAUUCUCCCAUGCGGGAAAACAAAUUAUGCGGUAUUAGCACCUGUUUCCAAGUGUUAUCCCCCUCUGUCGGGCAGGUUGCCCACGUGUUACUCACCCGUCCGCCACUCUUUGCUUUUCAGUGGAGCAAGCUCCGGUAAAAAGCAAAGCGUUCGACUUGCAUGUAUUAGGCACGCCGCCAGCGUUCGUCCUGUAGCCACGG